rnacentral:rRNA from 1 species
CAGCCGCCGCGGUAAUACGUAGGGUGCAAGCGUUGUCCGGAAUUAUUGGGCGUAAAGAGCUCGUAGGCGGUUUGUCGCGUCUGCUGUGAAAUCUGGGGGCUCAACCCCCAGCCUGCAGUGGGUACGGGCAGACUAGAGUGCGGUAGGGGAGAUUGGAAUUCCUGGUGUAGCGGUGGAAUGCGCAGAUAUCAGGAGGAACACCGAUGGCGAAGGCAGAUCUCUGGGCCGUAACUGACGCUGAGGAGCGAAAGCAUGGGGAGCGAACAGGAUUAGAUACCCCUGUAGUCCCUGUCUCUUAUAC